CGCGUCAGUGCAGUGGGGCCCGAUAACAGAACGUCAGUAGUGUGCGAGACACGCGCCGUGGUCCAUCGUUUCGCCCGCACUUUAGGCGAAGACUUUCGAUCCCGAUUUAGUCGUGUAGUCGUACAACAGCUAUAGUGUAGUCUCAGCGUGAAAUUCUCACGGUAGCGAUUGCGUAGUUAUCUUGCGAUUAGACGCGAAUAAAAUCGUUAUCGCCCGCCGACAUUCGUCCCGGGCAGCCGCCUCCACAGCAGCCGCGGAAUGCCCGACGGUCGUCUUUCAGUAACGGAAAGUCGUCAGUUCGCGGUGAAAACGCGCACAGAGCCUGAGCAGGCCAGUUCGAUCGAUCGGUUUCACGACGUCGAUAGUAUUACCGUCGCGUCUGCGGCGAUGUAGUGCAGUACCCGGUCUUCGGUCAGAUUUUACCAUCCCGUUUUCGAGGAAACUAAAUUAAUACGGUCGAAAAAUAUCGAUUUUCGUUUGCACACUUUUAAAAAAGAAAACAACCGCGCAUAAGUUCGACCCCGUCCGUCAAUAGAAAAUACAAGUUAUCAACGUAUUGUCGUAUUAUAUUUCAGACGAUCGAAUUUAAAUCGUCGUCCACGACGGCGGACACCACCAUCCGCCUCGCCAUGCACGCGAUGCUGGCCGCGUGGACGUUACUCGGCGUGGCUGCGUCGUCGGACCCGUGGCCGGCCGCCGCGUCCACCAUCGACGAGACAGCUGACUCGUACACGACAGCGUACCUGAACGUGACCACCUACGAUGCGAUCACGGGCUUCGCGAUCCAGACUGAAAAAUCGGAGAUCGGCAAGUUCGGCGAGUAUCACGUGGGGGCCGCGUCCGGGAUGCUGUUGCAAGUGAUCGGUUCGGACGGCGACCGCAACGGGUGCGCGUCCCCCGUCCACGGUGUCAUGCAAGAACCACCGGAAGCCGUUCCCUGGAUAGCGCUGGUGCGCAGGGGCAAGUGCAGUUUCCAGACAAAAGUGGAUAACGCUCGGCGAGCCGGCGCCUCAGCCGUGAUCAUCUACAAUGACCGCGAAGCCACCGACCUCGACAAAAUGAAGCUGCUACCUUCCGACCCCAGAAAUGUCAGUGCAGUUUUCACGUAUAAGUGGAAGGGCGAGGACAUGGCCCGAAUGUUGGACGAUAUUAACAGGAGGGUGAUGGUAAAAAUCACAAUAGCCAGUCAUUGCACCAGGCCAUACGGUAACAUUAACAGAACUUCCGUAUUGUUUGUAAGCAUAUCGUUCAUAGUGCUUAUGGUUAUAUCUUUGGCAUGGCUUGUAUUCUACUACAUACAAAGGUUCCGGUAUAUACACGCUAAAGACCAACUGUCGAGACGAUUAUGUAACGCGGCCAAAAAAGCGUUGUCCAAGAUACCUACCAAGCACAUCAAAAUGGAUGACAAGGAGAUCGUUGGUGACGGGGACUGUUGUGCAGUGUGCAUUGAACCAUACAAACCGUCCGAGGUGGUUCGGAUACUGCCAUGCCGACAUGAAUUCCACAAAAGCUGUGUAGAUCCUUGGCUGUUAGAGCACCGAACUUGCCCAAUGUGCAAAAUGGACAUACUCAAGCAUUACGGUUUUUUGUUCACAGGCAGUCAAGAGAGUUUCCUGCACGUGGAAGUCGAAGAGGUGACCAAUGAUUUCGACGUGUACCAGUACGCACGUGGUCGGAGUUUCAUGGACACAGCGCAAAACUCGAGAACGAUACCGGACGUUGCCGCGGUGGCAGUGGCGGCAUCGGUCGUGUGCGAGUCGCCCGACACUAGGUCGUCGACGCCCGACGAACUGACGCCCGCGCUGACCCAACACGACUUCGGCGGCGGCGGCGGCGGCAGUGGCGACGGCCGUAUUACAGACGCCGCCACCAACUGCACAACGGUCGCCGCCGGCACCAACCGAUCGACGUCAUUCGAAGAGCAGCUUCCGGUCCACUCUGUUAGCGUACCUACAACAGCUAAAUAGUUUGACAACGGCCGACGCACUCACAAUCACGACUGUAUUUUAUUGAAUAACUAUAUUUGUUAUUUUUAUAACAUACACCUGUUCCGCAAGACCGUUUCCGGAUAGCGUGUGUUUGUGUGCGUGUGUGCGCGGUAUAUACCACAGGAAUCCAAAACAAUAAUCGACUCUGAUUGGUGGCACAGCCGACUAGGUCCACUGCGACAGACGCGUUCUUCAGAUGGUUUCUGAAACAUCAAAACAACGAUUCAGAACGAUGUGAUACUAGCCAUUAAGAUGACUUAAACUUUGUAAUAGAAUGUAUCUUCUGUUCAAGUCUUAUUGUUAUAGAGAUUAGGAUUAGGUACAAAAAAAAAUAUAUAUUAUAUAAUUUAA